rnacentral:lncRNA from 1 species
GCAGUGACAAUUAUUGAAACAACAAUAAUAUAAAAUAUCAACGCAGCAAUUAUUGAAUCAAUAAAAUAAAAUAUUGAACAGUAAUUACUGUAAUAAUUAUUGAGUAGUGCCUUCUUACGUAAGAAUCAAUAAUUUAACAAUAUUGUGCAUUACUGUGUGCUACUGUGCAACCACGCGUAUUACUGUAUUUUAACCACUAGGUAUUCCAACAGUGUUAACGGUAACAAUUACGUCGUUAUUUAUAAAAACUCACACUUUGUCAUUUUCUUCAUCCAAAUAUUAUUCCGUUAUGGGGCCCACAAUUGACUGCGCCAUCGUACGGAUAUUCCCGACAAAAAGAAUAAUCCACGACCAAACGAAUAUUCUCUAACAAAAGGAAUAUUUUAUAACCACUUGCUUAUUUUGCAAAAUUUUCACAUUUAACCCAUAACCAAAGCAUUAUAUCAAAUUAACACCUUAUUAAUUUAGAAUAAUGAAUAGAAGAAAAUUCAAUUUUAUUUAUAAUAAGUUGGGGUCUUACAAUACACCAUAUGUUCUAAAUCUCUGAUUUAUUACUGAAGAAGGCUAUUGAUAAUUUAAUUAUCUUUAGUCAUGAUAUUCUUUACUAGGAUAGUUGUGCUCACCUUUUUGUUUCACAAUUCCUUUCAGGUAAUAAGAGUGUAGCUGGGUCGAGUGGAGGUAACAGGGGAAUAGAACGGUGGUCUAUAACUGUUGAGGUUUCCCCUAAAACAGUAUGGAAAUAAUGUUAUUGAGAAUUUGAGAUAAGUGUGUUGUAUUUUAUACAUCGUUUAACCGUUAAUUUUGGUGAACCGAAUAGGGUAAGGUGAACCCAACUUUGGAAGGGUAUUUUGAAACUAUCAUACAAGAUGUCUAAUGACCUACGACUUCGUGUUAUCAUAAGGCAGGGUUGUGCACAUCCACUUACUGAGUAUAUCUACGAGCACUACCUAUAUAAUCUUGGAGUUUGGUUGAAAUAUAAUUCUCAAUUGGAGACAAUAGAUAUAAUUAUAUGUCAAGAGAAGACUCACCAUUGGAAAGAACAUGAUAGUAAUCUUCUCAUUUUUCUUUGGGGUCUAUUGGGUCAACCAAGGAUAAUUCUCCAGUCAUAUGAUAUCUAUUAUAACUUAGAUGCAUGGCCUCCCAUGUACAAAGGUUUUCUUAAGCAUUUUCCAAAAAUUUUAAUUUCUAAAACAGUUAUUGACUGUACAUUUAUGUAAGGUGCCAUUGUGACGUGCUAUCCAAGAUUGGGAUGAGAGUCACAUUUGGUAUAUAUUUGUAUCAAAACUCAUAGAAUAUGUGUUGGCGUAUUUUGUACGACAUUUGUAUUAAUGAAGUUGUAGUUAUUUCUGUACCAAGUAUUUGGCGACUCAGAAAGGGUUGGGUGGAUUGAAGCUAUUUGGGGGCGUAACAGUUGGUAUCAGAGCUUAGGGAUAUGAUCUCUGGCAGAGAUCGGGGAAUAGAACUAGAAGGGGAGAGACGAGUAAUAUCUUUCGCUAGUGUAUGUCCUACCUAAGCUGAAUUUUCUUACUUAAGUUAACAAAUUGUGAUAUGUAAAUUAACCUUUAUUUUGAAGUUGUAUUCUAGAAUGAUAUUCGAAAUACAUGAGAUGAGCAAUGGAGAAAUCAUGAUAUAGAAGAGAUGACCGGGGAGAUAGAAUCUGAAAUGAAAGUAAGGUAUUCUCAACUCUUUGAAAUACCAGGUACGUAAAUUUCGGGGACAGAAUUUCAUAAAGAGGGGAGAUUGUAAGACACCGAAUUUUAUGAAAUAAAAUUAUUCAAUUUUUAUUAUAAUUAUUAUUCAGUAAAUGAUUAAAUUGAUAAAAAGUUAAAGUUAAGGGUGAUAUAUGUAAAGUUUACAAAAUAAGCAAGUGGUUAUAAAAUAUUCAUUGUUGUCGGGGAAUAUUCGGUUGGUCGUGAAAUAUUCUUGCUGUCGGGGAAUAAUCGUACGAUGGCACAGCCUUUUGUGGGGCCCAUAACGGAAAGCGAUUGGAUGAAAAAAAUGACAAGUAUGAGUUUUUUUAUAAAUAACGGCGUAGUUUUUACCGUUAACACUGUUGGAAUACUCGGUGGUUAAAACACAGUAAUACGUAGGGGUGCUCAAAAAAAUCAAUUUUUUUGGUUUUUUACCGAACUGGUUGGUACCGAAACCGGCGGUAUCGGUUUUUUU